CUCUUAUCAAGAGCGGCUGAGGGACUAGGCCCUGCGAAGCCCGGCAACCUUCAAACAUCGGUUUGAAAAGGUGCCAAUUCCUACAGAUCUUAGAGGUCUGAGAGAUAAGGG
rfam:Salimicrobium jeotgali strain MJ3 Contig14, whole genome shotgun sequence.